rnacentral:rRNA from 1 species
CAGCAGCCACGGUAAUACGUAGGGUGCAAGCGUUAAUCGGAAUUACUGGGCGUAAAGCGUGCGCAGGCGGUUUUGUAAGUCUGUCGUGAAAUCCCCGGGCUCAACCUGGGAAUGGCGAUGGAGACUGCAAGGCUAGAAUCUGGCAGAGGGGGGUAGAAUUCCACGUGUAGCAGUGAAAUGCGUAGAUAUGUGGAGGAAUACCGAUGGCGAAGGCAGCCCCCUGGGCCAAUACUGACGCUCAUGCACGAAAGCGUGGGGAGCAAACAGGAUUAGAUACCCGCGUAGUCCCUGUCUCUUAUAC